rnacentral:rRNA from 1 species
CAGUCGCCGCGGUAAUACAGAGGGUGCGAGCGUUAAUCGGAUUUACUGGGCGUAAAGCGUGCGUAGGCGGCUUUUUAAGUCGGAUGUGAAAUCCCUGAGCUUAACUUAGGAAUUGCAUUCGAUACUGGGAAGCUAGAGUAUGGGAGAGGAUGGUAGAAUUCCAGGUGUAGCGGUGAAAUGCGUAGAGAUCUGGAGGAAUACCGAUGGCGAAGGCAGCAAUCUGGCCUAAUACUGACGCUGAGGUACGAAAGCAUGGGGAGCAAACAGGAUUAGAUACCCGUGUAGUCCCUGUCUCUUAUAC